UACAGAGGGUGCGAGCGUUAAUCGGAAUGACUGGGCGUAAAGGGUGCGUAGGUGGGAAGUUAAGUGAGUUGUGAAAGCCCCGGGCUUAACCUGGGAACGGCAACUCAUACUGAUUUUCUAGAGUAGGUGAGAGGAGAGUGGAAUUUCCGGUGUAGCGGUGAAAUGCGUAGAGAUCGGAAAGAACACCAGUGGCGAAGGCGGCUCUCUGGGACCAUACUGACACUGAGGCACGAAAGCGUGGGGAUCAAACAGG
rnacentral:rRNA from 1 species